UACGUAGGGGGCAAGCGUUGUCCGGAAUCAUUGGGCGUAAAGAGCGCGUAGGCGGCCCAGUAAGUCCGCUCUGAAAGUCAGGGGCUCAACCCCUGGAUGCGGGUGGAUACUGCUGGGCUAGAGUCCGGAAGAGGUGAGUGGAAUUCCUGGUGUAGCGGUGAAAUGCGCAGAUAUCAGGAGGAACACCGAUGGCGAAGGCAGCUCACUGGGACGUAACUGACGCUGAGACGCGAAAGCGUGGGGAGCAAACAGG
rnacentral:rRNA from 1 species